rnacentral:lncRNA from 1 species
AGAGAGAGAGAGAGAGAGAGAGAUCCCUCUGUUUUCAGCUCCUCUAUAGUUUGGCUAACGAGCCCCGUCCUUAUGAGAGGACUGCUGGAUCCUAACAUGUUUCCUAUCAUCUUUACGUCUUUUAUCUUCUUCAAUUUUCAUCAAGGUAUUUCGUUGAGAGAUUCCUAGGUGUCUUCGUUCUUCCUGGUGUUGUCUUGAUGAACGGAGCUGACAGUCACCAUCUUCAUGAGCUUGUGACUUGCAGAACAAGCAAUGUUUUCUAGCUUUUCAUAUUUGAG